rnacentral:misc_RNA from 1 species
GAUGAAGAACGUAGCGAAAUGCGAUACUUGGUGUGAAUUGCAGAAUCCCGUGAACCAUCGAGUCUUUGAACGCAAGUUGCGCCCGAAGCCAUUAUGCCGAGGGCACGCCUGCCUGGGCGUCACACGUCGUUGCCCCCCCAUCUACUCCUUCGGGAUUGCGGGGGGCGGAUGAUGGCCUCCCGUGCGCCUCGUCGCGCGGUUGGCAUAAAUACCAAGUCCUCGGCGACGCACGCCACGACAAUCGGUGGUUGCGAAACCUCGGUUGCCCGUCGUGUGCGGUCGUCGCGCAUCGAGGGCUCGAAAAAAUUGCCGGGCUCCGGCUCGGCUUUCAACGCGACCCCAGGUCAGGCGGGGUUACCCGCUGAAUUUAAGCAUAUCAAUAAGCGGAGGA